rnacentral:rRNA from 1 species
AGCAGCCGCGGUAAUUCCAGCUCCAAUAGCGUAUAUUAAAGUUGUUGCAGUUAAAAAGCUCGUAGUUGAAUUUCGGGGUCAAUAAGUUGGUCGUGCCAAUGGUAUGUACUGGCUUUAUUGAUUCCUACCUCUUGACGAACUGUGAUGCCAUUAAUUUGGUGUUGCAGGUAAAUCAGGACUGUUACCUUGAAAAAAUUAGAGUGUUUAAAGCAGGCUUACGCUUGAAUACAUUAGCAUGGAAUAAUGAAAUAGGACGUUUGAACCUAUUUUGUUGGUUUCUAGGAUCGACGUAAUGAUUAAUAGGGAUAGUUGGGGGCAUUAGUAUUCAAUUGUCAGAGGUGAAAUUCUUGGAUUUAUUGAAGACUAACUACUGCGAAAGCAUUUGCCAAGGAUGUUUUCAUUAAUCAAGAACGAAAGUUAGGGGAUCGAAGACGAUCAGAUACCGUCGUA